GACGAACGCUGGCGGCGUGCUUAACACAUGCAAGUCGAACGGAAAGGCCCUGCUUUUGUGGGGUGCUCGAGUGGCGAACGGGUGAGUAACACGUGAGUAACCUGCCCUUGACUUUGGGAUAACUUCAGGAAACUGGGGCUAAUACCGGAUAGGAGCUCCUGCUGCAUGGUGGGGGUUGGAAAGUUUCGGCGGUUGGGGAUGGAGUGGGGGCUUAUCAGCUUGUGGGUGGGGUAGUGGUUUACCAAGGCUUGGACGGGUAGCCGCCCUGAGAGGGUGACAGGCCCCAUGGGCCUACGGGAGGGCCCAGGAUGCAACCGGGGGCAAGGGGUGGGAACCUUGGCCAACGGGGCGGAGCGUGGUGAGAGAACGCCGGGGUCGGGAAGCACGGCUUUCGGGUGGGAAACCCUUUGCCCUUGUACGGAGGGGGGAUGACGGUAACGGGGAAAGAAGCAACGGCUAACUACGUG
rnacentral:rRNA from 1 species